rnacentral:rRNA from 1 species
AUAGAGAAAGCUUGCUUUUUCUAGGCGUCGACCGGCGCACGGGUGAGUAACGCGUAUCCAACCUGCCCAUCACUUGGGGAUAACCUUGCGAAAGUAAGACUAAUGCCCAAUGACAUUUAUAGAAGGCAUCCGAAGUGAAUUAAAGAUUUAUCGGUGAUGGAUGGGGAUGCGUCUGAUUAGCUGGUUGGAGGGGUAACGGCCCACCAAGGCGACGAUCAGUAGCCGGCCUGAGAGGGUGAACGGCCACAUUGGGACUGAGACACGGCCCAAACUCC